UGAAUCUAUAAAUUCAUUAGCGAGCAUGAUUCCUUGGUGCCACAUGCUCUGCUCUCUCACCACCAAUAGUGCAUUCCGAUCCUGGCCGGUUGACAGAAAAACAUGCUCUACAGCCCCCACAGCUCUCACCCUAAAACUAAAAAUCACAGGGGUCGGCGCUGCUCCACUGCCAGGCAUGCCUCCUCCCCCUCAAGCCCCCGUGUUCAGGGACUUCGGCUGGGACCUACCACGGCGAUUGAAUGUUUGAGCUGGUGCAUUGGUUCUGUGCGUGAAUCGUUAGGUUUGCUACCAAUUUCAAGGCGCACGACGACUAUGGCAAUUGGCGCCAAAUCCCGGCUUUCACUGGAACAUGUUUGAAGAAAUGCCUGUGACCUAGUACUUCAUGCCGGUGGCCACCUUCUUCUUCACCCAGAAGAAGGAUAAUGAGAUGUUGAAGCGGCAUAGUGAAUCCAAGAGACUGCAGUGCAAUUGCACCGUUCCAUUGAAUAUUACUCAGGAAUAAGGACAUUCCAAUGGCAGAUUAGCUCUAUUUUUCCUUUUCAUUUUUCUUACUAUUGGAGUGAGGACAUCUAGAAUGAGAAACUGUGUGGUAGCAGAUAUGGCAACUGUGCGAUAGUAGAAUCAUGAAUAAGGAA